GGCAGGUACAGAGGGAUGCUACCGGGCGACCGGAUGCGGAUCUCGAAAGCCUGUCCCAGUUCGGACUGGAGUCUGCAACCCGACUCCACGAAGUUGGAUUCGCUAGUAAUCGCGCAUCAGCCAUGGCGCGGUGAAUACGUUCCCGGGCCUUGUACACACCGCCCGUCAAGCCAUGGGAGCCGGGGGCGCCUGAAGUCCGGGACCGCGAGGACCGGCCUAGGGCGAAACUGGUAACUGGGGCUAAGUCGUAACAAGGUACC
rnacentral:rRNA from 1 species